rnacentral:rRNA from 1 species
CUGCCUCUAUGAUGGGGAUAACAGUUGGAAACGACUGCUAAUACCGAAUACGCUCAUAAUGAACUUUAUGAGGAAAGGUGGCCUCUGCUUGCAAGCUAUCGCAUAGAGAUGAGUCCGCGUCCCAUUAGCUAGUUGGUGGGGUAACGGCCUACCAAGGCAACGAUGGGUAGCCGAUCUGAGAGGAUGAUCGGCCACACUGGAACUGGAACACGGUCCAG